GCUAGCCUAGGGCGCGGGAGACGGGUCUUGCAGCCUGUGGCGCUUGCAGACCCUGGUUCUCUGCCGCUGUGAUUUUCCUACUGGGGCUCCAGGACUGGCGUCCCUCUCCAGCCUCUGCUCACGUUUCCGUGGCGACGUCUCGCUAGCUUGGACCGUGGCCGAGCCGGGUUGUCUACUGAGUGCUAGAGGCUGCUCUGUUCCAGUGUGCCUACGCUCCGGCCUUUUAUUAAAAUCGAGGGGGUGCACGGACCAAUCAGAAAACACUCAAGCACCACGGAGGGAUGUGGCCCCUCCACAUAGCGACUUAGCUAACCCUCCCUGCGUGAGACAGUGAGGUUUUAAAAUAAACAAAAACAACAAACAAAAUAGACCUUAGAAAUACUGACAAAGGGGAACUGAAUGUUUGAAACCUAAAUGCCUGUUUUUCAAACUAUUUGAUACUCAUCACAGUGGCUGUUUUUUAGACACGCCCUUAAUGGAGUAAGAAAAAUCUAAGCUUCACUGAACGGUUGAGAAGGCGGAUUGCCACAUAAUGGAAGGUCACCAGUCCCUUACCUCACAAUGCACCAUUUGGACUGUCAUAAACAUGUUCUAUUGCCUAACCAACAAAGGCGAGCCACUUGUUGCUCUUCACGUCCUGGCUCUGGUCUGUAUGCUUCUUUCUAAGGCAUAAGACAAGCAGGAAACCACUUUCCAGAGUCUUGGAUUGAGCAACAUGGAUCAGCAGAUGCAUUCUACCUCACACUGUUUUGAGGAACUUGGGCCUGAAGGCCAACCCCACCAUCUCAUUUCCCGCAGCCCAGUACGGAAGUAUGAUUUUUUUUUCGUUUUUUAAUUAUUGAGAAAAAAAUCAAAAGAAGAACAAUGUUUCUGAUUGUUGGAAUUUACAAAAUUUAAAUUUCAGAUCUGUGAAUAUAGCCGUGUUUAUUCUAACAGAGGAAACUUGAGCAUCUGCACAUUUUGGUACCCACAAGGAGUCCAGAAACACCAUGUGGAGCCUCAGGGACUGAGAGACAACUAUUGUUUUGGAAUGACUGUUAGGAGGAGAGAACAUGACCACACUUGGGGGCCGGGGGGAAAACCAGAAAACGCCUUCUCUUUUCAACCAAAUUUCAGAGCACUGGUGUUUAUAGAGGCAAUGCCCAGCCCUCAGUAUUCCUCAGGAUUGCUUGAUUGCAAGUCUCGCAAAUAUGAGUCGAUUAUGUUUGGAGGUACGCCCUGCAGGAGGAGCCUGCAGAAAGACAGCCCACCUAGAGAAGACAAAAUGGAGAAAGCGGAAGUUAAAAACAUCCACGGAAAGAUCACCCAGAGGACACUCCUGGACUAGCUGCCUGCAAAUGGGGUCACUUUUGUUCUUAGGAGCUACCAAGACUCACUCAGGCCCUACUUGAAAUCUUCUCCUGGUUCUCGUGCAUUUAGAAUUUAACGUGCUUGGCAUCAAGUUCCUGGCAGACCCGUAGUAAUUUAUCCCCUACUGUUGUUCCAUCUUGGUUUAAAUUCUCAGUGCCUUGAGAGUGCAUUGCUCUUAGAGAGGUUUUGAGAGUUCUCCUCAAAUGAUAUAACGCUUCUGACUGAAUGGCUGUAGGUCACCAGGGGAGCCACUUCCCAACUCCUUAAUGCUCUUUUGAAUUAAGCACGGAAUAUUCUGAUUCAAGCCCAGUGGAGAAGAAAAAUAUUUGCUUUAGCUUUGGCCAUUUAUAAACUGCAGAAACUAGAGCUAAUGCCUUCUGAAAGUGAGAGAAAUGCCAACUAGUAUUUCAUACCUACCUUAUGAAUUUCUGUUAUAUUGCUUUAAAAAUCAAAGUAUCAUUCAAGAGAAAACCCACGAAACCAGAAAGCCUGCACUACCCUUUAUAACAAAUGCUUCACUUCCUGAUAAAAGAUUUAUGACCAAACAAAAGCAGCAUGCUGUUGGAACAAUCUUAAAACUUCUUUAAUGCAAAUUUGAGAAACUCAUUCUCCUUAAUAAAAAAGAAAACAACCAACCAUGUCACAUAUCUGUAGAAACGAUGCCACUUAUAUACAUGUCCAUUCCUUGAUGCAAAGAAUUCAGAUGCAUGGGUCUCACUCAUUUCAUCUACAUCAAAUCCUUUGAUUCAUGCUCUACCUCAUUCAACAACUUGCUGCAUGUCCAGAAGAAAUGGUUGUGAAGGCUCAGUAUUAGAUGUUAAUGUCAAGAUCCAGAAAUACCAAUUAAAACUACGAAGUUAGCAGGCUCUAGUUUCAUUGGAUUACGUAGUGGAAAUCAUGCCAUACUCCACAGGCCUGGUAUGGCUUAUGACAUUCAUAAGCUUCAUAUGCUAAAGCCAUAUGAAAGCUUACCUUAGGGCAAUAUACAUUCAGAAAUCCUUACUGUGCUACAACUAAGGAAGAGAGAGAGAGAGAAGAGAGAAGUUGUAAGAAUUAAUAAAGUGCUAACAUCAAAGUUGAGUGUAUGUUGGAGGUGAAAUUAUGGUCACGAUUAUGAUCAGGUGAUUUCAUUAAUCCUUAGUCGGGUGAAUGACAAAGGAAAAAUAGAGUGAAGGGUGUCACUUCAAGAGGAUCAUUAAUACAUAAAAAAUUAAUAAUAGGCAUAACCACUUUGCUAGAAUAGGUGGCAAAGCUAAUCUGACUAGUGAAUGUUUAUGGUAAGAGCUUCCAAACUGUUAGCUUAAAAAAAUACCCUACAACAUAUAUAUAUCGUGUUUUUCAACAAAAGAAAAACAUAGACAAUAUUUUAAAAUGUUAGUGUUCAUAUAUAUAUGUUGAAAUUCCAAAAGGCAAAAUUAUCAAGUAUAACUAUUGAGCUAGUGUAUUUUGUAAUAUUCUGUUGGGACGGAUUAUAUGUAACUGGUCUAAGUCUUAAACUCAAGCUACAGUGAUUGUCUAUAGCCUACAGUACUUCAAAGGAAGAACUCUGAUAUUUUAUUUUGUCUUUAGUGCUGACAUUACCUCUACAUUCAGAAAGCAGAUACUGUAAAUUCAGAUUAGAUCGAUAUCGGAGUUUAAUUCAGGUUGUUUACCUAGUUCCAAAGAACUCUUUAAUUAGCUCUUCCAAGUGAGAGUGGGUCAUACACAUACAAUAGGACCUUUUAUAUGUAAUACAUUUAUCAUAAGCCCUAGACUUUUCCUUCCUUUUAAGUUCAUAAGCAUAUGAGAUAAUUGGGAUACCACAAAGAUUUCCAAACUGUCCAAUACACGAAUAGGUUAGGUAUCCCACCAGUGAGUUGGCAAUGGGAAAAUCUUACAUGAGAGAGUCUCCAAAUGUCACACCUGUCUUUGCUUCUUCCUUCAAAAAUGCACAGAGCAUGCUCUCUUUACAACUUAGCAGGUGAGAGGUGCUCAGUUUCUGAAUUCCAUCAUGAAUAGGAACUCCCUAUGCUGGAAAUGAUCUUCAAGGACCAACCUAUCUUUGUACACUUGAAAAAUAAAGACAUUAAGUAAAUGUCCUUGUUUCUAAAUGGUUUUUUGAUAGUCAUAUAUAAAAUGAAGGUUUCCUCAAAUGCCACUUUCUGACUUUGUUAAUGGGGACAGCUGGUCUGAUAUUCAGUCUUCUGA